rnacentral:rRNA from 1 species
ACGAAAGCGUGGGGAGCGAACAGGAUUAGAUACCCUGGUAGUCCACGCCGUAAACGAUGGAUACUAGCUGUUCGGAGCAAUCUGAGUGGCUAAGCGAAAGUGAUAAGUAUCCCACCUGGGGAGUACGCACGCAAGUGUGAAACUCAAAGGAAUUGACGGGGGCCCGCACAAGCGGAGGAGCAUGUGGUUUAAUUCGAUGAUACGCGAGGAACCUUACCAGGGCUUAAAUGGGAGACGACAGUUUGGGAAACCAGAUUUUCUUCGGACGUCUUUCAAGGUGCUGCAUGGUUGUCGUCAGCUCGUGCCGUGAGGUGUCAGGUUAAGUCCUAUAACGAGCGCAACCCCUAUUGUUAGUUGCCAGCGGGUCAUGCCGGGAACUCUAACAAGACUGCCGGUGCAAACCGUGAGGAAGGUGGGGAUGACGUCAAAUCAUCACGGCCCUUACGUCCUGGGCUACACACGUGCUACAAUGGACGGUACAGAGAGCAGCCACUGCGCAAGCAGGAGCGAAUCUUCAAAGCCGUUCUCAGUUCGGAUCGGAGUCUGCAACUCGACUCCGUGAAGCUGGAUUCGCUAGUAAUCGCAUAUCAGCCAUGAUGCGGUGAAUACGUUCCCGGGCCUUGUACACACCGCCCGUCAAGCCAUGGAAGCUGGGGGUACCUGAAGUCGGUGACCGCAAGGAGCUGCCUAGGGUAAAACUAGUAACUGGGGCUAAGUCGUAACAAGGUAC